CCCUACCGCUCAAUCAUUUUCUUUCUUCUGUAGAUUAUUGCAAAAACCGAACGCACCGAAAAAUCCAAAGUAGAUAGAAGACCUUCAGCAACGUAGUAUAUGAAGAGUCUUCUUCAUUGGCAAAGGACUGACUAUAGUGAUUUGAUAUAUCUGCAAAACGAGAAUGAUGUACGAGGAAGAUCGUAUCGGGAUACGGUGCUGGGGGGGAAAAUGGAAUGGUGAGGGCCAGAGUCGAGGUUUUGAGGAGAUCGCUGGGGAAGAAUUGCGAUUGUCCUGCCAUUGUGCUAUCUAAGUUUCAUAUGUCAAAAAAUUGAAUAUUCCAAGUGGCGUGGUGGGUGCCUGCCGUCUUGAUUUAGCAUAUGAACAUUUCAAGGAAAAGCCUCAUUUGUUCCAAACGAGAAGCAGGUCAAGGCAGCUAAUAAACUUCUGAAGACAAUCCCUCACAAUAGUGUUGGGAAAAAGGUCGAUGGAUAUAGCAAUAGCAACUACAAAUGGAAUUAAACGGUAUACUCCCUACUUCUUUGAUAAAAAUAUGCUUGAUAACAUUCUUGAAGAAGCUGUUGAUCAACAAUUCCAUACAUUAAUCCAACCUCGGCAAAUUCUGCUGCGGCGAGAUGUGGUUGAUGACAACUUGGCGGCAGAAGUGGUUGAGGAAAUUGCAGAUAGUUUAUGGGAGCCUCCAGAGGUUCAAGAAGUGCUCGAUGAAAUGGGCCAUCCUAGUAUACCAUUUAGUUAUUUCGAAAGCUGCGGAACUCGAGUUCCAUUAUAAUGUUGACAAAGCACUCUUGGGUAAUAGGUGGUUGCGGAAAGCGACAAGCAUACAACCGAAGUUUCCAUAUAUGGUUGACUCCUUUUAAAGAAGGUAUAUUCUUUGUUGUUUUUAACUUGUGGAAUUUUUGCUCUGCCUAUUCUUAGUCCAGUGGUUUCUUGGUGAUGUUUAUUAUAUCUAUAAGUAUAAAAGAACAAAUAGUGGCAAUUGGUUUCCAAGAAAAAAAAUUGUUAUACUAAUCUUGAUUACUCUUUUUGAACGGCAAAAUAUAUUAAAUGAGAUGAGAAAAGUACGAGUAAUAGACCCAUAACUGAGAAAAGUACAAUGGGGUACUCUAGCCACCCAAAAAAGACUAGGAUUAAAAACAAAGGUGAGGAUUUGUAGUCGACACAUAAAACCAAACCGCCUCCUCUGAUUUCUAGAUACAAACCACUUCCAAGAGAUAAGCCUAAUAGCCUCAACUAUUUCGUCAACCUCCGCCGGUUUAGAAUACAAAAUUACUUCAUUCCUAGCUUCCCAAAUUUUCAAAAGUUGAAUGCCAAAUGAGAGAUAAUCCUUUCCGAGACUUUGAACCAGAAGUAGAAGAGAUGAAGCUGCAUCUACAAAACAGACGGUCUUCAACUUCCACCACUCCCGGACACCAAAGGCAAUCGGAGUCAGGACCGAUGCUCAGGACAUUCCUGUCGUUCAAGUCACCAUGGAUUGGUAGGCGGUGAAGAAAGAGUUGCCAAGAAAAAGUUUUAACCUUUGAGGUCGCCAAGGAAUUCCAAUUAUCUUUUAAAACUCUCCGAAAAUCCUCACUUAAAAGACAAGGUUGAAGGAGUAAAUCGCUAAGAGCCUUGUAUACAGAUUUGACGGAAAAGUAACCGCCGGUUCCAAAGUACACUUCCACCAAUCACUAUCAUAUUUAAUUACGUUAAUAAACAAAUUACUUUAAUACUUGUAUUUCAUAUUUUAUUACGUUACCUUAAUCUAGCAUCAAAAUUCCUUGUAGUGUGAUUAGUUAGGUCCGGGUUCAUUUUAGACGCGUUAAUUAGGGAAACUAGGACCUGUGUAUUCUCUUUGAGAUCAAUAUAUGUUUUUGUUCUUAUUGUGCAUUACACAUGUCAAUGAUUUUCUGGCUAUGCCUCUUUUCAAUCUGUCUCAUAGUAUUAGACUUUAAAGUGGCAACCCAAACGAUGCCUACCUGGUGUGCUCGUGAUUGUUUUUUAUCCCCAAUCAACCGUGUUCUCAAGUACUUGCAUUUUUAUACAGUUUACCCCUGGCGACCUUUCUGGUAGGUGAGUCCAUCACUAGACUCUUAGUCACCCGUAUGAGACAGAGCCCAAAAGGUUCUUUUCAAUGAGCCCUUAUCAGUGUGCCCCACAUCAUUGUUAUUGUUUCAUGUAGUAGGCCAUUCGGCUGCCUUUGCAUCUUGCAGAUAUCCUGUCUGAUCUUCCUAUUUUUUCUGUUGUUCUGAUUUGGCUGUCUGCUCCUUUCAUGUCCCGCGUUAACAUUUGCAAGCCAUUCACGUGCUUUAUGGUGGUUUUGAUCUCCAGUCUUUGUUAUUUAACUUGAAGCCUAGUUGUCAAUAAUCAUUCAAAUGCUCUCUAUGACUCUAAAGUGUGAGACCCUUGUUUUCAAUAGUUAUACGUCAUUUCUCUACUUACAAAUCAGAUGAAGUAACUAUGACACCGUCGUUUCUAUUGUCGAAGUCUAGUCUAGGUUGGAAAAGCUUAAUUCUCGAAGGAAGAAACGUGUACCCAAAUGAAUUACCCAAAUUUUCAUUUUUAAAAAGUUGGUACGUAGUUUGCACUCACCCAUGAGUAUCAAGAGUACCAGGUACGGUUAUGACUUGAAUUUUGGAGUAUCCAUACUUCAAAGCUUUAUAUAUUGUUCCUAUCGGCCUGCUUUCGUCACCAUGGCUAGGAACAAUAUUGUAAUUGAUGAGACACUUUUUGUGGUCAAAUUGGAAACGAUAUGACUAACUGAAACGAAGGCCACUCAAAUGGGACAUUACCUCUCUGCACUGGAGUCAAAACUCGGUCCAAGUACUUGGCGUAAUGCUGGGAAAUAUGGAUGGUGGAGCAGCUAAGUUGGCUUCUGUUGGACCAAAAACAGAAGAUGCACAUGGACUAGCUAAGUGCCGCCGGCCUGCACUUAUAGGCCCAACUCUUCCAUUUGACACCUAAAGAUUGAUAUUUUCUCUCCCCACCCCCCACGUUUCUUUUAUACCCCCCUUAAAUCCCAGUUUGCCCUUCGAAAAUGACCACUUUUUUGGUUAGCAAAUUCGGGUUUUACGAAUCGAAAAAAUUAAAACUUCGGUUUUUAAAAACCACUCGCUUUAUCCUUCGAGUUUUACGAAUCGAAGUAUGUUUAUAUAGAAAGCAACCUCACAUUCUUCAUCACUUUCAAUACUUCAUCCCCACACUACCAAAAGAGAUCCCAAAAUCCAAUCCGUUUUUCACUCAAAUCGCUGCUUAAAAUCAAGUUUGGAACGUUUGCUAAGGGUUGGAAGGCGAUUUGAAGCACAAUAUUAAGUUAUGGCGGGCAAACGAGAGCUUGUGCUAGGUAUCUGUGCCCCGGGAAUUGUUGAGGUUCCGCCUGAUAAACCUCCAUCUAGACCUGUUGCAUAUGAGAUUGAUACAUCAGAUCAUUUUUACACUGAAAUGGCAACCCCUGACCGAGAUGAGUUGAUUAGAUGGGCUCGGGAGAUUGCCUUAAAGCUAAAGUUUGCAAUUGUAAUUGGCAAAUCCGACAACGGCAGCGAUAAGAGGAAGCAAUAUUUCAGGUUGGAUUGCGAGCGGGGAGGCCGGUACGUGUCAACAAAUAAGAAGUUAAAAUCUGAUCAAACCGGCACGAGGAAAUGCGGCUGUCCAUUUCGACUCCGUGGUUAUUGUCAUGCCGAUAAAACAUGGCAUUUGAUCGUUGUAAAUGGCAAACAUAACCACGAGUUGGACAAGGCAGUUGAAGGCCAUCUCAUUGUCGGUCGUCUCAAACCGGAAGAAAGGCAAUGUAUGGAGGAAAUGUCAAGGAAUUUGGUUCCGCCUAAGAAUAUAAUGUCCACAUUGAAAGAUAGGGAUCCAAACAACAAGACAACGGCAAAGCAACUCUACAAUUUAAGUCAUCGAUUAAAACUUAACACUCAAUACAAUCUUAACAUGGAAAAAUAUCUUCACACUCAAUACAAUCUUAUAAACUAUGAUAAAUUCAAACUAUAAUUCAAUCAACAUUUAAUCCUAACACCUAUGGUUAACAUUAUUCAUAUGGAAGCAUAUUGAAUUUUACUUACACAUUUUGUCAAACACUUAGUGUACACCAUAAUACCAUCUAAUUGCAUACACAAAUUAAACCUAAUAUCACAUGCAUUCAUGUUAACAUCUAACUAAACUAACAACUAACCAUUAAUCAACAAUUCAAACAUAGAAUUUUGAGAUAGAAAAUUACUCAGGGAGGGAAAAAAACGUAGAAAAGAGUGAAUGUGAUAAGAAAAACAUGGAAUGAGAAAAGAGUGAAUGUAAAUGCAUGGAACUUACUUGAUUAAGAAUGGUUUGAGAUAGGAUGUUGAAGUUUUCCACAAAAUCGCUCUCAAGAAGAAGAAGGAGUGGUGUUGUUGGUGUUUAGAAGAAAAAACGUAACUGAGAGGUUAUGAAAUGCUUCUGUUUCUAUAUCAG